AUGCUUAUUUCAUUUAAGCCUGUUCUCAUGUUCUUAAUUUGUCGGCAUGUCCUCAGAACAAUUACAGACUGCUUGCUGCUGCAGCUGUAUAAACACAGAUACGUAAUCCUAAUUUGUGCUUUGUCUUCAAGGACAAAAAUGGCAUUGAUGUCAUUCGAACAACGAUCCUGGCAUGUCUAUUUACAUUCUGAAAGGAAGAGUCAGCAGCUGCUUUCAAGAAACACAAGCAUGUGUGCAGCAGCGGGGUGGAUGGCAGGGCAAAACAAAAAACACUUUCAAUUGACUGUGACAGCAGCCCACAGUGAGAACCAACUGUUAACCAAAUGCUGCCCAUCUCUGGGAAACUGCAAGAGACUGUAAACCAGAUACCUGCUGUUUUCCUCCCAGAACGUCAUUUCAUACUGGCACCUGCCAGUAAAGUGCUGAGUGCCCUAUUUCCUCAACUGUGGAAGAGAGUCUGGAGUGGGAGGAUACCAGGAGGGACGCGCAUGACAUGUCUGCUGAUGUUCUUUUAGAGUGACCCAAAAUAUGCGUGAAGGUGAGUCCAGCAAACAAUUACAUCCUUCCUGAUGUGACUCUCAAUGGCCAAGGAGAUCCAAAGGCAAUGUGAUCCAGAGGAAGACCAGGAUGAGACCACUCAAAAGGAAGUAAGGGAAGAAAUUAAGUACAACAUUAGAAUGUUGUGUCUCAGAAGAAAACUACUUGCCAAUCAAUCAAUUGUUCAGGUGUCAAUAUCGUAAUUAGAAUUGAACUUUGGCUAUUAGAUGUAAAACAACACAAGGUUAGGUCACCUAGUUUUUCUCAAUUGACAGGGCUCAGUUCUUGAAUGAGAUUCAGAUCUCUAAACAGUUAGUUUCUUGUUCACACCAGAUUUAAAUUUUUUAUUCAUUUAAGCAAAUUGCAUACAUUAUGGCACGUGUGCACAAGGCAAUUGUCUGCAAUUUGUACAUGCAUGUCAAGGUUGUUUGAUUAAAACUGAUGAGUUACUACUCUUCACAACUUAGUGAGACAUCAGAUGCAAAAUUAUUCAUUCAUUUAUCAGAAUCAGUCAGACAUGCAUGUAUAUUCCAUAAAUAUAUGGCAUGAAAUGUUCCUGAUGUCUGCUAAACUGGCAAAUGUUGACUUUAUGGCUUGGACAUGCAAAUGUUUUCCAUUCACAUGUAACACAUUGCAGAAAUAAAUUACCUGUAAACAUGCA
ensembl:lncRNA